rnacentral:rRNA from 1 species
CUGUAGAGAUAUGGGAGUGCCUUCGGGAACGCUGAGAAAGGUGCUGCAUGGCUGUCGUCAGCUCGUGUUGUGAAAUGUUGGGUUAAGUCCCGCAACGAGCGCAACCCUUAUCCUUUGUUGCCAGCGGUUCGGCCGGGAACUCAAAGGAGACUGCCAGUGAUAAACUGGAGGAAGGUGGGGAUGACGUCAAGUCAUCAUGGCCCUUACGAGUAGGGCUACACACGUGCUACAAUGGCGUAUACAAAGAGAAGCGACCUCGCGAGAGCAAGCGGACCUCAUAAAGUACGUCGUAGUCCGGAUUGGAGUCUGCAACUCGACUCCAUGAAGUCGGAAUCGCUAGUAAUCGUGGAUCAGAAUGCCACGGUGAAUACGUUCCCGGGCCUUGUACACACCGCCCGUCACACCAUGGGAGGGGUCCCAAAAGAAGUAGCUAGCUUAACCUUCGGGA